AACGAACGCUGGCGGCGCGCCUAAUACAUGCAAGUCGAACGAGAAGCUGUAGCAAUACAGUUGUACAGUGGCGAACGGGUGAGGAAUACAUGGGUGACCUACCCUCGAGUGGGGAAUAACCAGCCGAAAGGUUGGCUAAUACCGCGUACGCUUCCCAGUCUACGGGUUGGGAAGGAAAGCGAUGCCGUGGGUAUCGCGCUCAAGGUUGGGCUCAUGUCCUAUCAGCUUGNGGUGGGGUAACGGCUCACCAAGGCAACGACGGGUAGCUGGUCUGAGAGGACGAUCAGCCACACUGGCACUGCGACACGGGCCAGACUCCUACGGGAGGCAGCAGUAAGGAAUAUUGCGCAAUGGGCGAAAGCCUGACGCAGCGACGCCGCGUGGGGGAGUGAAGGUC
rnacentral:rRNA from 1 species